rnacentral:rRNA from 1 species
CCCUUAGAUGUCCUGGGCCGCACGCGCGCUACACUGAGUGUCUGAGAUAUGAGGCAUGCCUGGUCCGGCAAGGUCUAGGUAAUCACGAAAAGGCACAUCAUGCUUGGGAUUGAUUAUUGCAAAUUUUAAUCAUGAACGAGGAAUUCCUAGUAAGUGCAAGUCAACAGCUUGCGUUGAUUACGUCCCUGCCCUUUGUACACACCGCCCGUCGCUCCUACCGAUUGAGUGUGUUGGUGAGGAGUUCGGAUUGGCUCUUAGUGGUGGUUCGCCACCACCUAGAGCUGAGAAGUUCUCCAAACCGCCCCACUUAGAGGAAGGAGAAGUCGUAACA